AGGAUGGAUGUUAGAAAAAAAGUAAGAGAAAUAUUUUAUCGGAGUCAAAGGUGAGUAUUCGGGUGUAUGAAUUGUACUUCUUCAUAAGGAUUAUAGCGUACUUACUCAUUGAUGCAAGCAUAUUAUUUCUUUAUUUACAAUUGAUUAUGAAACCUGCGGAAGUCGGAUUCUGAUUUAAAAUUACGAAUUAUAUCCCUUGUUGAGAAGUAUGCUGGUAAAAGUAUUGGUUCUUUGCUAUCCGGAAAAACUAUGAGAGGUUAAAAAGAAAACAAUACAUUAACAGGUUUAUUAUCUUGAGACUUUGAAUUACAGCAUGAUAAAUAAUUAAUUUUCUACUAUAUAUUGUUCUGUUGUUUUUCUGUUAUAGGUGACGUGUUUCUCUCAGUUUAAGUUUGUAAACUGAAAUUGUUUUUCUUGAAUCGUAUUAUGACUAUUGAACGGCGGUAUAUUACUGAUGCAUUUCAUGAAAGAACAAUGUAUAAUGGUUUUAAUCUGAAAUUAUUCAUUUAAUGAUUUAAAAGAAAUGUCGUUAACUGUCCAGCAACUGCUAUAAAAUUCAAUACAAUACAUCAUGCUCUUAUGAUACUGUAAUAACAUUGCGAUAACUGUUUAAUCAUAACUUGAACAAAUAACAUACCUUGAACUAUUUAUACUAUCAAUGGGAAUUUUCAGUAAUAAUAUUAAACCAUAAAUUCCAUAACCUAUUUUUAAAUCUUUUCAAAAGUUAUUUAUAAACGUAAAUUCCUGAUAACUCACGUGACAGUGAUACGUGAUAUUCCCUUGACAUACAUUUAUAAAUGGUAUUUUUCAGUGUAAAAUGAUACAAUUAUAUAGUUGUUUUAUAAAUUUAAUAGAAAAGCACGAGCUUAACAUUUACGAGAAUGGUGCGAGGAUAUCUGCCAAUACAUAAAACCUUUUUUCCAUCUAAAAACCAAAUCACAACUUUUGUUUGAAUGACAGUUUCUGGUUUGAUAAGAUUUUUUUUACAAUUGACAAAGAGGCAUAUCAUCAUACAUUUGUCAUACCCAGACAAUUUACUCCGAAUCCGAACAAACCAGUCUUAACUGUACAUAUGUAACUAGUACUCAUUAAUUCCGCUGAGAAGCAACAGCUAUCAAUUUCAAAGCAUUUGGUUGAACCGGCCGGAGUUUCAUCCCACGGUCAUUUGCUCUCGGGGCGAACACGCUAGGCAAAUCACUUACCAACGAUAAUUGGGGAAAAAAAAACUAGAUUUGGGACUGUUCAUUUGCAUUUAAAAAAAUAAAACUAUGUAAACGAUGUUUGUUGUGAUAGCUGUGUAAAUAUCAAGUAAGCAAACGCAAGAAAACUUUAAAAGAUAAACAUAUUUUUGUUAACCAAAGUUUAAACAUCUAAAUUUACACAGAUUGUCGAAGUACAAUUGAUAACGAUCAUCACUUUUUGUAUCCUCAAUUCGUCCAAAUUAGUGUAAAACCAAACCAAAACAUUAUCAGCAUAAAUAUUCUAAAUUGAAUUGAAUAGAUUGAUUUGUGUUUUACCUAUUGUUACUGAAAAUAAAAUUAAUACUUGUAGGUUAAAAUGACUGCAUAUGUUACAAAUCAAACAAAAGAUUGAAAAUAUCAACAUUUAAUAUUGAUUAAACCGACAUAUAAAAGAAGUCGAUAGAAAAUAAUUCUGUAUAUUUUAUACUUCUUUGAGCUAACUUACAGUUUAACUGUUUUCACCAGCAAUUUACCGUUACAGGUAAUGUCUUUUUAUAACGAAUUUACAAUGAUUUAUAUUUGCAUACUCUCAACUGCAUGAACGUGGGGAAAUAUCAUAUAUUAACCUAUCAACGAUAUAUAUAUUAAAGUACGAUUGCUAAAUUUUCUGAUAAAACAAUUUUUUAAAAUUUUUAUAUUUUUGUAAAAGGGUCAAAGUAAAUACUUUGUCAAAAUGUUAAGAAAAUUAAACGAGCCAAAUUAAUUUUAGUUUAAGUUUUAGUUACUACCUUAAAACUCACUUUCUCGUAGUUAUUACAUUGCAUGUAACAUUUACUUUUGCAAGUUAUCACUGACAAUUUAUUUUGCGAGUAACAUUGAAGUAUUUUUUUUUUUUUAGAAAAAUCCGUUUAUUUUCGGAAAAGUAUCUAAGAUUCUUGUUAAACCAUUCGGUUUGCCGUAAAUUUAAUUUUUUUUCUGUUCAUGUACUAAAAAACUUUAUGUAGAGGAAUAAGAAUAGAACUUUACGAACAUGUGUUCCAUUAAACCAUAUGUAUCAGAAUAUAUGGUUUUAAACACUCAUCAGUGGACUCCGGCUUAAAUGUAUAAAUGCAUAAACUACGAAGUUAAAUACACUGCGGACCGAAAAUGUCGAAACUUGUGUCAUAAUAUAUAAGAAUAAAUGUCUGUUACUUUCUCAUAUCUUUUAAAAAAAAUCUCAUUACAUAUUAUAAGUAAUAAACGCAAUGAAAUGUUGAUAGACAAUGACAAUUACAGUACAGUUCACAAAAGCUAUUUUGCACCUGAUCCAACAUAAGGAAAUAUGAUCCACACUUUUAUAUAAUAGUGUUCACGUGACUAUUUUGUAUAAAACAAAACGCAUCCGAUCAUAUCGCUACCUAUUCCGAAUCUUACUACGGCUUAGGCUGUUUUCAAUUUUUUGUAGAAGGUAUGUGUUAAAUGUAAAUUAUUAAAUAUUACGUGUUCGUUUACUUUUAGAAAAUGAUUAACAAAAACGUUUAAUGUUAUAUGUUUAGAAAUAUAUACUCUUAAUAGUUUUUUUCUCUCUGAUUUUAAUCUCAAAACAAAAUCGGUUAUUAAUUUUCGUUUUUUUUUUUAUUAUAUUUUCAUAUGUGAUAUUUAUAUAUUGCCUUCAUCACUCCAGGCUUCAUAAUAAUAAUACCAAUACGUUCCCAAAUAUAUAGUUGUUUCGUGUGUUUAAGCAGUCAUUUUUUUUAUAUGACAAUGUCUAUUUACAAAUCAGAUCCGUGGUCACCUCUUCCGAUUUUGUAUUCAAAAGGAAAAAAGUGGUAUUCUGAAUGUCAUCGAUUCUAUAUCAUAUUGAUAACAUUUAUAUGUGAGAUCUUUGGUAUCUUCUUCUUAACAGUACGUGUUUAGUGAAGUUAUUCUAGUAGAGUAAAAAUAUCUAAAUUUUCACCAACCGAUGUUUUGCAUAGUGUAAAAAAAACUAUUUCAUCUAAAUUAAAUUCAUUGAUUUAUUAAAGUGUUUCUAUGUACUAACAAGUAUUUUAUUAGAUUUAAUUUGAAGAAAUUUAUUUUAACAUUGGUUUACCGUCACUUUGGUUUGUACACAAUACAUACAAACUGGAUAUCAUGUCAGAGUACCGAAUCAUGUAAAAGAUUAUUAGAAGUAUAACGCUGUUCAGUAACCAAACCUCGAAAACAAAAAUCUGGGUUACAAACCAAAACCGAGAGAAACACAUCGACUUAAAGCGAAAAACAACAGAAAAAUUGAACUGCAACAAAAACAAAAGCCAACGUUCACCUUAAUGCAUUUUUAAUAACAACUGCUAUAUUCCUGUAUUGGUACGUCAAUCACAACAAUAAUGGCAAAGCGAAAAAAGAACCUCAUAAAGUCUAACGUAAACUACACUUUUUCUUACAGGAUGUUUGAUUUAUAAAAAAAGGAAGAUGAAAAUGUUCGAGGUAAGUGAUUGCGUAUUUAUCUUAAUUUUUUACUUUUUAAUAUUGUGUCGUCAUUCUCAUAUUUAAUGCAUUUCCCUCGGGUUUGGUUUGUGACCAGGACUUGUUUUUUAUGAGUUUUGAACAUCGGUAUACUACGCCUUUAUUUAGUGUAAUUGUAUCUCUUUAAAAAGACAGUGAGAUCAGGCAAUGAUGCUAUCAAUAUAUAAAUAACACAUAACUGAGAGGGUGAUAGAGCAGAUUGUUACCCGGAGAAAACAUAGUCAACUGCGCAGCCAAGGUUGACAAUGCUUUUUCGAGGGGUACCAAUCUGCUCUAUCAGCCUCUAAGCUAUGUGUUAUUUAAUUCAUUAUACUAAAUGUCCUAUCGUUAUUGUCUUUUACAGAUGCAUUUUAUUUGAAAAUAUUUUCUAUGACGUCAUGUACAUAACAACGUUAUGGGUAUUAUAAAAAUCAACAGAAGUGAAGCAAGAUGUUGUUUUUUUUUUAUUUUUUUACAUUUAAAUAAUAGAAUCUGAGCCAAAACGUAGAACUUAAGCAUUGUCUUUAAUAAUUUGAUGUAAAUUCAAUUCUCGAUUUUGUAUUGGUCUGGACGAGAGGGUGACAUUCAAAAAAAGUGUCACCCUCUCAGCCAUGUGAUAGAGUAAAUUAACGCCCUCGUAUCAGCCAAUCGAAAUAUGGAAUUUUAACGUGAAGUAUAAUAAAAUAUUUUGUCGUUGAUAUGUGCUUUUUAAGUUUUAAAUACUAGUAUACACACGUUGAUAAUUAUUUUGAGUAUUCCAUGUAUUGUAUGGAUUCGGGGAUAUGUAAAGAAAUCCGAUAUUCAAGUUGAUAAUAAUUUUAUGUUCACUAACUAAAGUACGAAUCUUUGCAAAUACAUUUCUUAUCAAAAUCGUUAUUCAUCAAACUAAUAGUGUGUUUGGCAGGUAAUAUGCACAAUGUCUUUGAUAUACAUUAUUUUUGUUCAAUAGUACCUCGAAGAAUGUGUAAUCCUCUGAUUUACCAUUUUGUGUAUUAAGUUAGAUAAUAAUUUAGUCGAAACAUCCUGUUUUAUUCCAAUAUGAACGAUAAAUUUAUUAUAUAAAACAGGAGUGAACUUUGGUAUAUGUGCAAGAUGCGAGCCUCGUCUACAAAAGACCCAUCAGUGACGCUCGAAUAAAAACAAGUUCAGUAAGCGAAAUAAAUAAAUGAAUACAUUAUAUCGACAAUGAUUUUUUUAUUUCAUUUAAAAAUAAAUAUUUUAGUUUAAUAUGGUUAUUUAAACAACCUUUUCAUAAAUCUGUUUCCCAAUUAUCUCUUUUUCUUUUUCAGAUAAUUAUAAAACAUUAUGGAUCCUGGUCCUGAUGGGGGACGUUAAAUUACAUCAAUUAACAAACAGUCGUCUGGUGGGAGAACGACGUUAUAAAUUGAUAAACUGUAGCAAAAUACUUCCACGUUUCACAAGUGUCUUUUAACAUCAUCACAGACUUGCUUGGCUUGUUUGUGUUUAAAACUUGAUAUGUUAAUAUUUUGCACCUGCAAAUAACCAGUUUUAUCAUUUUGGACUUUCGAUGACCGGGUUUAUUAUUUUGGACUUGGAAUUACUAGAUUGAUCUGUUUGGACAUGCAAUAACUUGAAUUAUCAUUUAAGAUUGAUAACCGAAUUUAUCCAUUUGGACUAGCAUGCAUCAGAUUUAUCAUUUUGCACAUAUCUGGACUCUUCUUUAAAUAAUUGAAAACGAUAAAGAUUUAAAAGAUAAAAUGAUAUAUACAUAAAAAAAAAA
rnacentral:lncRNA from 1 species